CGCUUGCUUUUAGAAAUAGGAUUGCGCCGAGUCUUCCUGGAGAAGAAGGUUUUCUCUGACACCAUACUGGCUAAGGAAAGGGAGACGCUACCUCAUUACUGCCAGGCUCUGUCAUUCUUUCAAAGGUUGUGCCCUGCCCCCUUCCCUCCUGUUUCACAACUGCUGAGCCCACUUGCUGCAACUUCUGAAGCCUGUGUGCCUAGAGCCUGUGCUCUGCAACAAGAGAAGCCACUGCAAUGAGAAACCCGUGCACUGCAACUAGAGAAUAGCCCCCACUUGCUGCAACUAGAGAAAGCCUACAUGCAGCAACAGAGACUCACCACAGCCAAAAAAUAAAUAAAUGACAUCAGGGUUUUUCCGAGUCAACUCUUCACACGAGGUGGCCAAAGUAUUGGAGUUUCAGCUUCAGCAUCAAUCCUUCCAAUGAACACCCAGGACUUAUCUCCUUCAGGAUGGACUGGUUGGAUCUCCUUGAAGUCCAAGGAACUCUCAAGAGUCUUCUCCAACACCACAGUUCAAAAGCAUCAAUUUUUCGGGCCUCAGCUUUCUUCACAGUCCAACUCUCACAUCAUACAUGAUCACUGGAAAAACCAUAGCCUU